rnacentral:snRNA from 1 species
GUUUUGGCAAAACAUAUACUAAAACUGGAACGAUACAGAGAUUAGUAUGACCCCUGUGCAAGAACAACAUACAAAUUCAUGAAGUGUUCCAUGUUCUA